rnacentral:rRNA from 1 species
UACAGAGGUCCCGAGCGUUGUUCGGAUUCAUUGGGCGUAAAGGGUGCGUAGGCGGCUUGCUAAGUUUGAUGUGAAAUCCUGGGGCUCAACCCUGGGACUGCAUUGAAUACUGGCAGGCUAGAGUACUGGAGAGGAAACUGGAAUUUACGGUGUAGCAGUGAAAUGCGUAGAGAUCGUAAGGAAGACCAGUGGCGAAGGCGAGUUUCUGGACAGUUACUGACGCUGAGGCACGAAGGCCAGGGGAGCAAACGGGA